UCAUCAUCAUUGCUUGGUCGAUGGAAUUUUUGUUCAUGCACCACUAACGAACUCUGUAAUUCAUCGAUAGACAUGUUGUCAGUAUCUUUUGAUCCUUCGAUGGAUACUACAACAUAUGUGAACUUGUCAGUUAGAGUUCGUAAAAAAAUUUCAACCAUUUUCCUGUCAGGCAUAUCUUGUCCAUUACUUCUCAUCUUAUUUGAGACCAUCAUCACUCUUGCGAAAUACUCA
rnacentral:lncRNA from 1 species